GAUGAACGCUAGCUACAGGCUAACACAUGCAAGUCGAGGGGCAGCACGGAGAUAGCUUGCUAUCUUGGGUGGCGACCGGCGCACGGGUGAGUAACGCGUAUCCAACCUGCCCCUUACUCUGGGAUAGCCUUGCGGAAGUAAGAUUAAUACCGGAUGUUGUUAAAAACCCGCAUGAGUUUUUAACCAAAGAUUUAUUGGUAAUGGAUGGGGAUGCGUGACAUUAGGUAGUUGGUGAGGUAACGGCUCACCAAGCCUACGAUGUCUAGGGGUUCUGAGAGGAAGGUCCCCCACACUGGAACUGAGACACGGUCCAGACUCCUACGGGAGGCAGCAGUGAGGAAUAUUGGUCAAUGGACGAGAGUCUGAACCAGCCAAGUAGCGUGCAGGACGACGGCCCUCUGGGUUGUAAACUGCUUUUAGUUGGGAAUAAAAAGAGGGACGUGUCCCUAAUUGUAUGUACCAUCAGAAAAAGGACCGGCUAAUUCCGUGCCAGCAGCCGCCGUAAUAC
rnacentral:rRNA from 1 species